rnacentral:rRNA from 1 species
CAGUAGCCGCGGGAAUACGAAGGGGGCUAGCGUUGCUCGGAAUUACCGGGCGUAAAGGGAGCGUAGGCGGAUCGUUAAGUUGGGGUGAAAGCCCGGGGCUCAACCUCGGAAUUGCCUUCAAUACUGGCGAUCUUGAGUAUGGAAGAGGUAUGUGGAACUCCGAGUGUAGAGGUGAAAUUCGUAGAUAUUCGGAAGAACACCAGUGGCGAAGGCGACAUACUGGUCCAUUACUGACGCUGAGGCUCGAAAGCGUGGGGAGCAAACAGGAUUAGAUACCCGCGUAGUCCCUGUCUCUUAUACA